rnacentral:lncRNA from 1 species
CAUGGAUGAGGAGGGGAUCUGUGUGGUAAGGAAGGAGGCGGCUAUGAUCUAUGAGGUGGCGGUGUGCUCAGAGGGGCGGGUGCUAUGGGUGAGGAAGGGGAUCUGUGGGUGAGGGGCGGCGGCUAUGUGCGUGAAGGGGCGGAUGGCGAUUUAGGAGGGAGACGACAGUGGUGGUGGUGCUCUACGAUGGUAAUGAUGAUUGGUGUAGUGAUGGGAUGGAGAUGGCUGUCUUUCGGUGAACAUCAAUGGUGA